GAAGAUCUAAGGAAAAGGUUUCCUGUAACCGGUGACCAAAAGCCUGUAUCUCAGCAUGGUAAUCCCAGUUGGGCUUCUCUGAACGGCGCACGGGUGGUGGCGGGCAGCGCAGCAGGCGCCAGCGCUCCAGCUCCUUCUGGAAGCAGUAGGCGGCGCGGAAUCCCUUUUUCACUCCCCGAACUGGCGGGAGAAGCGCGGGGGCGGCCGGAGCUAAGAGGGCAGCGAGGCCCCAACUGGAGAAACCUCACCAACCCGGACGCCAUCGCUGGGAAGAAAACAAUAUUUUCCUAUUAUUGAUUCCCUAUCUUUAUCUUCUGCUUAAG
rnacentral:lncRNA from 1 species